rnacentral:tRNA from 1 species
GGGCGCGUGGCCUAACGGUUAUCGCGCUUGCCUUACACGCAGAAGGCCAGGGUUCGAUUCCUGGCCGCGACUA